AACUGUCUGCAAGGCUGCUUGUCACCUUCGAAUAUACUCCAUCAACAUGCUGCCACUUCAUCUUGUUUAGGCUCUUCGACUGCUUUAUAGAAGGACACUGAAGUCCACAUCUAUCUCCUUGAGACAGGCAAAGAAACAAAUCCUUUAUCCUGUCUCAAAAAGAGCUGACAAGCUUUUAGUAGUGUUUAUCUUCACUGAAGGGUGAUAACCUUGAAAAUGAAAGUGAAAAGAGACUGAUACAAUUAGAUAAAGAAACCAGGACUCAAAGAUGAAGUAACUUGUUCAAAGUCUGGCAGCUACUAAGUGACAGAGCUGAAAUUCAAGCCACCAACUACAAGAUGGACUAAGGGGGCGCAAACCCCCCUGGGUGAAACAACAAAAAGAAAAACAGAUAAAAUAUAUUAAACAACAGCUCUCAAGAUACUAGCAUCAGGCAACAAACCAAAGUGAUCCCUGUGAGAUAGUAAACAAAUGAGGUGAACCCUAUGACAGGUGCAACUUACUGCUUUGCAGAGUUUCCAGGCCAUGACACUAAGAGGAGAUAUCCAAGCAGAGCCCAGUGAAUGACCCAGAUUGAGGAGACAGAGCUGAAAGUCCAAGAAGACCCAAGGCAGCUGGAAUUUGCAAGACCGAGUACCAGAGAAAAGAGGGCUGAGCAGAGAUAGAAUUCCAGAGAUUUGUAAAGGGUCUCCCUUAAGUAUUUAGCAGAGUAUUAAUCAUUGUAGGCAUUUGAGGCAGUUACCUGUGGCCAGGAAAAAAACCACCCAAGAGGAUUAAAGGAAACAGUGUUUUAGCACUCACACAAGGCCAGAAAUAGCCUAUUUUCCCAUCCAGAUUGACUUAACUUCGUAAUUUGUGGGGCUUUGGGUAAAAAAGUCUACUCAUUAGUUAGUCUUACCUCAGUAGUAGGGAAUAAGUAGAUGUAGACUAAACACUAUACUGGUACCACCAAAAAAGCUUUAAAAACAGACUUAAAAGAAGUAAAUGCUUUUCAAGUAAUUUAACUGCAUCCUAGAACAAAAGACAUGCAAUUGGAGUCCCUGAAAGGAGGAUGUGAGAAAAAAUAUUACAGGAAAUAAUGACUAAAAUUGUUUCAAAUUUGAUGAAAGGAUAGACACAAGAAACUCAACAAAACUCAAAGCGUACAAGAAACAUGAAGAAGCCAGGUGCAGUGGCUCAUACUUGUAGUCCCAGCUGCUUGGGAGGCUGAGGCAGGAGGAUCUCUUGAGCCCAGUAGAUUGAAUCUGCAGUGAGCUGUGAACGCACCACUGUACUCCAGCCUGGGAGACAGAGCAAGACCCUAUCAAAAAAAAAAGGAAGAGACAUGAAGAAAACUACACUAAGGCACACAAUAAUCAAACUGCUCAAAAUCAGUGAUAAAGUGAAAAUCUUAAAUGCAACCAGAAGGAAAAAGACAUUAUAUACAGAGAAACAACGAUAAGGAUGACAUUAGAUUUAACUUCAGUAAUAAUGCAAUCCAGAAAACAGUGGAACAACAUUUUUAAAGUGCUGAAAGAAAAAAGCUAGAAUUCUACUCUCAGUAAAAAUGUCUUUAUAAGAAUUUUUUUCCUUUUUUUCUUUUUUCCUUGAGAUGAAGUCUCACUCUGUUGCCCAGGCUGUUCUUGAACUCCUGAGCUCAAACAACUCUCUGCCUUGGACUCCUAAAGUGCUGGGUGGGAUUACAGGCGUGAACCACCGUGCCUGGCCAGGACAUUUUUGGACAUACGAAGCUGAAAGAGUUCAUCACCAGCAAAUCCAUACUACAAAAAAUGUUAAAGAAAUUCUUCAGGCAGAAGAAAAAUACCCUAUAUGAAAAUUUUAAUCUGCACAAAUAAAUGAAGAGAACCAAAAAUGGUAAUACAUGGCAUGAUUGUUAAUUUUAUGUGCCAACUUAGUGGCCAUGAGGUGCCCAGAUUAAACAUUAUUCCUGGAUGUGUUUGUGAGGGUGUUUCUGAAUGAGAUUACAUUUGAAUCAGCGGACUCAGUAAAGUAGAUUGCCCUCCCAGUGUGGAUGGGCCUCAUCCAAUCUGUUAGGAGCCUAAAUGGAAUAAAGUGUGGCAGAAAGGAAAAUUCACCCCUUUUGCUUCCUGCCUGUCUGGUUGAACUGAGACAUCUCAUCCCAUCUUCCCUAGCACUCAGAUUGGGAUUUACAACACCAGGUCCCUUGGUUCUCAGGCCUUUGGACUUGGACUGAAUUACACCACUGCUUUCCGCGGUCUCCCAACUCGUGGAUGGCAGACUGUGGGACUUCUUAGCCUCCAUAAUCAUCGGAGCCAAUUUCUCAUAAUAAACAUAUUUACUAUACCCUACUGGCUCUGUUUCUUUGGAGAACUCUGACCAAUACACAUGAGUAAAUACAUAAAGUAUUUUUUCUUAUUUACAUCUAUUAAAAGAUAGUUGACUGUUUACCCAACAGUAGUAACAAUGUGUUUGGGG
rnacentral:lncRNA from 1 species